UACAUUCUUCUUUCUUCUGAACCUGAACUCCCACCCCACACACCACCAUCCUCCUGGACGCCGAGCAGCCGAAACACCACCAAAUUAUCCCAAAUUUUCACUCUCGCUUCUUCUUCCUUCGCCCUUCGCCAUGAAGCUGAGCCCAGGCACUGGUCAGAGACUACAGACGGUCAUCGAGUUGGGAAAGACCGUGUUCCAUUGGGGUUUCAUCCCUGUGGUGCUCUAUUUAGGUUUCAAACAAGGAGCAGAUACUGGUUCUCCGCCCAUUACUUUGGGAAA